UGAGGAAUAUUGGUCAAUGGACGCAAGUCUGAACCAGCCAAGUAGCGUGCAGGUUGACGGCCCUAUGGGUUGUAAACUGCUUUUAUAUGGGGAUAAAGUGGGGAACGUGUUCCCUUUUGCAGGUACCAUAUGAAUAAGGACCGGCUAAUUCCGUGCCAGCAGCCGCGGUAAUACGUAAGGUCCGAGCGUUGUCCGGAAUCAUUGGGCGUAAAGGGUACGUAGGCGGAUAAGCAAGUUAGAAGUGAAAUCCUAUAGCUCAACUAUAGUAAGCUUUUAAAACUGCUCAUCUUGAGGUAUGGAAGGGAAAGUGGAAUUCCUAGUGUAGCGGUGAAAUGCGCAGAUAUUAGGAGGAAUACCGGUGGCGAAGGCGACUUUCUGGCCAUAUACUGACGCUGAGGUACGAAAGCGUGGGUAGCAAACAGG
rnacentral:rRNA from 1 species